rnacentral:lncRNA from 1 species
GCGCCGCUUGGCAAAUUCCCCGCUUGGACCAACAGGCCUUUCCCAGGCCCGCCGGCCGGUCCGCGGCCGCACCCGCUGUCCAUGCUAGGCUCGGCCCCACAGCACCUGCUGGGACUUCCCGGAGCCGCAGGCCACCCCGCUGCGGCCGCCGCCGCCUAUGCUCGGCCUGCGGAGCCAGAGAGUGGAACAGAUCGCUGUAGUGCCUUGGAAGUGGAGAAAAAGUUACUUAAGACAGCUUUCCAGCCGGUGCCAAGGCGGCCCCAGAACCACCUGGAUGCUGCUCUGGUCUUAUCAGCUCUCUCUUCGUCUUAACUUUUCAACAAUUUUUAAAUCGUUGUACUAAUUGUAAAAACAAAUUCGCUCUGUAUAGUGUCGAGUUGCAAGCAUGUCUGUGUAUGAUUACCUUAAAAGAAACACUAAACAACAACAGAAAAGGACGAAAGGAAGAAAUAAAGCCAGUCCCCCCUCGGCCCUCCCCCAAGUCACUUCCAUAUCACCCCACAUUAGACUGUGAGGUUCGUUUGUUCUGUUGAUUUCGGAGGGAAGUGGGGUUACAGAGAGAAUAAGCCCGUCUGACUCUUUUUGUAUAUACCGGAAAAUGUACAUACGUGUGAACCAAAUUGUACAAGAAAGUAUCUAUUUUUUGGCUAAAUAAAUGAGUUGUUGCCACUUUUGACUAUAA